rnacentral:rRNA from 1 species
AAUAGAUACCCGGGUAGUCCACGCCCUAAACGAUGCGCACUAGAUCGAGGCGGCUCUGACGUCGUCUCGGUCGCAGAGAAAUCAUUAAGUGCGCCGCCUGGGGAGUACGGUCGCAAGGCUAAAACUCAAAGGAAUUGACGGGGGCUCACACAAGCGGUGGAGCAUGUGGCUUAAUUCGAAGCAACGCGAAGAACCUUACCUGGGUUUGACAUGCAUGGAUUAGUUCUUGGAAACAGGAAUGACGCCCUCUGGGUGGAACAUGCACAGGUGCUGCAUGGCUGUCGUCAGCUCGUGCUGUGAAGUGUCGGGUUAGGUCCCUUAACGAGCGCAACCCCUGUCGUCAGUUGCUCACGCGUAAUGGCGAGGACUCUGGCGAGACUGCCGGUGUCAAACCGGAGGAAGGUGGGGAUGACGUCAAGUCCGCAUGGCCCUUAUGUCCAGGGUUGCACACGUGCUACAAUGGCGCGCACAAAGCGAAGCAAGGCCGCGAGGCGGAGCAAAGUCGCAAAAAACGCCCG